GCUAACGAGCCACGAGUUUUAUGUCCACCCCUAAUCAUCCGUUUUAUUUAAAAAAUAUUACUAUUGUUAUUAGAUGAUAAACAUGAAUAAUUCUGUACGUGUGACUAUUUUUAAAAACUUUUUAUAAUUAUUUUAAAUAAAACGAAUGGUUAAAUAUUAAACACGAAAAUCCACGGAUAUAAUUAUA
rnacentral:pre_miRNA from 1 species